rnacentral:rRNA from 1 species
GAUGAACGCUGGCGGCGUGCCUAAUACAUGCAAGUCGAGCGAACGGACGAGAAGCCUGCUUCUCUGAUGUUGCGGCGGACGGGUGAGUAACACGUGGAUAACCUACCUAUAAGACUGGGAUAACUUCGGGAAACCGUAGCUAAUACCGGAUAAUAUUUUGAACCGCAUGGUUCAAAAGUGAAAGACGGUCUUGCUGUCACUUAUAGAUGGAUCCGCGCUGCAUUAGCUAGUUGGUAAGGUAACGGCUUACCAAGGCAACGAUGCAUAGCCGACCUGAGAGGGUGAUCGGCCACACUGGAACUGAGACACGGUCCAGACUCCUACGGGAGGCAGCAGUAGGGAAUCUUCCGCAAUGGGCGAAAGCCUGACGGAGCAACGCCGCGUGAGUGAUGAAGGUCUUCGGAUCGUAAAACUCUGUUAUUAGGGAAGAACAUAUGUGUAAGUAACUGUGCACAUCUUGACGGUACCUAAUCAGAAAGCCACGGCUAACUACGUG